AAACAGUCCUGUGACUCCUCACAAGGACUACCCUGGCCAAGAUUUUGCUAAAUUGAAACAUGACUGCACACAGCUCCUAAACUGGAGUGGUCAAUCCCAUCUUGACACACGCACCGACAAGUCAAGUACUUGACUACACCCAGCAGCCUUCCGUCACUGAAUUAAAAAUUCAGGUACUCCAGUGCCUAAGUGCAGUGAGUUGCUUGCAAGUCACCAUGGCGGUC
rnacentral:lncRNA from 1 species